GCCCUCUUGGCGUAGUGGUCAGCACGCUCGACUCUUAACCGAGAGGUCCGUGGUUCGAUUCUCCGCGAAGGCA
rfam:Stegodyphus mimosarum contig90538, whole genome shotgun sequence.